rnacentral:rRNA from 1 species
GAUGAACGCUGGCGGCGUGCCUAAUACAUGCAAGUCGAGCGAAUGGAUUAAGAGCUUGCUCUUAUGAAGUUAGCGGCGGACGGGUGAGUAACACGUGGGUAACCUGCCCAUAAGACUGGGAUAACUCCGGGAAACCGGGGCUAAUACCGGGUAACAUUUUGAACCGCAUGGUUCGAAAUUGAAAGGCGGCUUCGGCUGUCACUUAUGGAUGGACCCGCGUCGCAUUAGCUAGUUGGUGAGGUAACGGCUCACCAAGGCAACGAUGCGUAGCCGACCGGAGAGGGUGAUCGGCCACACUGGGACUGAGACACGGCCCAGACUCCGACGGGAGGCAGCAGUAGGGAAUCUUCCGCAAUGGUCGAAAGUCUGACGGAGCAACGCCGCGUGAGUGAUGAAGGCUUUCGGGUCGUAAAACUCUGUUGUUAGGGAAGAACAAGUGCUAGUUGAAUAAGCUGGCACCUUGACGGUACCUAACCAGAAAGCCACGGCUAACUACGUGCCAGCCGCUGCGGUAA